GGCACAUUUCAUGACACUGACUAAUAUUUGAAAUUAAAUUAUGAUGUUUAACAUCCCUAAGCGGCACAG
rnacentral:lncRNA from 1 species